CCGAAAACACUACUUUUACAGUGUGAAAUAAGUGUGGAUCCCCUUGUCGAGGAAUUUAGAUCAUGAUCGGGAAAUCUCUGACGCCGUCACUGCAAUAUUUUCCGAAUUGGGGUGGGGGAGGGACUGGUGAUACCUGGUUGGUUGUGCACCUGUCAGAUAACAUCCAAAUUACUAUGAAUGGCGUGUAUGUGAACUACUGUAUACACGUCGUAAUAUUGAAUUUCGGAAUGGUGUUUCUUUUAAGUUUGGAAAAUAUACAUAUAGUGCCUUACUUCAAAUCUACCGAUCCAUCAAGAAGUGUGAGGUGGAAGUACAAUCAUUGUCACCGGAACACGAUGUAUAUUAAUUGGCGGAACACAAUGUAGGCCCUACUAUCAAUAGCCAGAUUUAUGUGGUCUUCUACAAAUAAUCGCGCGCAGAUAUUUGUUAGGUUUUAUACCACUGGAUCACCGGAAUUUGAUUACAUUUGCAAAUUAUGUUCCUUGUACAACGAACAAGUAAUCCUCGAACGAUAUUACAUACUUAAAUAAUUAUAAUAAGGCCUAAGCAGCAUAUAUACAUACACACACA